rnacentral:rRNA from 1 species
CCAAUAGCGUAUAUUAAAGUUGUUGCAGUUAAAAAGCUCGUAGUUGAAUUUCGGGAUCAGUUGGUCGGUCGUGCCUCGGUACGUACUGGUCAAAUUGAUUCCUACCUUCUGACGAACCACGAUGUCAUUAAUUUGGUGUCGCGGGAAAUCAGGACUGUUACUUUGAAAAAAUUAGAGUGUUUAAAGCAGGCUCGCGCUUGAAUACAUUAGCAUGGAAUAA